UACGUAGGUGGCAAGCGUUGUCCGGAAUUAUUGGGCGUAAAGCGCGCGCAGGUGGUUUCUUAAGUCUGAUGUGAAAGCCCACGGCUCAACCGUGGAGGGUCAUUGGAAACUGGGGGACUUGAGUGCAGAAGAGGAAAGCGGAAUUCCACGUGUAGCGGUGAAAUGCGUAGAGAUGUGGAGGAACACCAGUGGCGAAGGCGGCUUUCUGGUCUGUAACUGACGCUGAGGCGCGAAAGCGUGGGGAGCAAACAGG
rnacentral:rRNA from 1 species